ACCUAGCCCCGAUGGAAGCGGCAUCCUUUUUCAUUGCCAUAGCCUACGUUUAAUACUAAACUAACUUCGCAAUGAAAAAAGAUACAGCGGACAGCGGGAAAUAGC
rnacentral:sRNA from 1 species